CAUUUUGGAGUGUUUUAUCCAGGCUAAUUUGUUUCUCGAUUGAUAGUGGAGCUAAAGGAAAUAUGGGUAACACAAGCAGUGACUCAAAACCAAGUAGUCAGUCUGAUGCAAAAGAGCUUAAUGCGCCCUCUGAACAAAAAGUUAUAACAAUGAAAGAUUACAUUCUACAGAAAGCUAAGCCAUUUACCAACGAUUGGCCUAUGUACAAUGAUCCCACCAUCUGGGGCGUACUAACUGCUAUCACCGAAAGUGCAAUUAAUGGCAGAAAAUACCAGGGAUGCCAGGGACACUGUAUUAUCUUGAAGAUGGCUGAGCAUUGCAUUGGCCUAGUAUUGAAGGAAAUGUUCAAAUUUCCAUAGGAGAUGGUCAACGAAGACUAUGGAAUAUAUCUUAGCAGAGUUGAUGGUGAAGAAGCAAAGCAUCUCGGGAGCUAUUAUCCACCUGUCUUCUUGUGCGACACUAGCGCUUGUGACACAUAUGUCAAUUGGCAAAAGUUGACCAAAGGAGAACCUGUUCGAAUUUAUCACGGAGAUAUCAUAUCUUUUUUUUAAAGCUCUUGAUCAUGGUAAUAUAAGUACUUCUUCUCCUCCACCAAAAAACAUAAAGGAAAAAAAAAUGUUUUCCUUGGCAGAACUUAUUUCCUCUUCAUUGUUGAGGUUUUAACUUCUAAUGCUACAACUGUUGAUCAAUUUUUCUGCUUCUAUUUUAAUUGAGUGGCAUUUUGAUGGAUUAUUGUGUGUGUUUGGGGUGAGCGGUAGCGGACUCAUAUCAUCCCCUUUCUUUGCCUAGUUCUUUUUAUUUUCCUUUUUUACCUUGACGUCAAAUCAAGUUAUAUUUCGUUUAUGUCAUUUGGCAUCUAUUUCUAUUGUUCAGUGUAUGAUAGUAAUAUUAAAAUGUUUUCUUAUAUGAAUCUAAUGAGUUUUGACCAUCAAAAUGAGAAAGAAUUUCAUAUAUGAAUAGCCAUUUCAAAACACAAUAUCUUGUUAGAACAUAUUGUUCACUAAUAUCCCUGUCGAUGUAACAUUACAGAAGGUUGGGGAUUAUUUCAAAACCAAGUCGUAACAACUUGUUGGUGGAAUGUACAUCUCAUACAGUCUUGUCUGUGGUUAUACGCACAACUUGUGAUUUCGAAAAGAAAAGCGAUUAGAUAUUGUGGUUAUUGUUAUGAUCUUGAAGCUGUUAAGAGUUUAUAUAUCUCAUGUUAAGAUAAUAGAAAAUAACUUUUGAUAUCUUUGAUGUGUUUCCAGUUGAUGCAGUUGGAUAUGAAUAUCAAAUAGCAAGUAGGUCCGGUCCUUGGCAAGAAGGUCCCGUAGCAACAAGCCAUGACCAAUUUGAAAUAGUGCUCAAGAAAUUUGCGGAGAUGAAGAAAUUAUUGUGUGUAAAAGAGCGUGCAGAGCUCAAGACUGAACUUAGGACCGAACUCAAGGCUGAAGUAAGGACUGAAAUCAAGGAUGAAAUCAUGGCUGAACUCUCAAGCACAAACUCAGGUUAAAGCCUUGAUGGCUGUAUAUGUUAAUGCUAGAGCUAUUUUAUGCUUAAAUUAUAAGAUGCUGAAUGUGAUUACUAAAUAAAGUUGCAUUUCAGAACCUCAUAAGAGUUGGCUUGUCAAUUAGCAAAUUGACUCCCUAGUUGAAUUUGCUAUGGUGUGCGCUCUUCUUAAAUAAUUAAGAGUAUUGACUCUAAACCUGAAUUUGUCGGGCCGGGCCAUGACAUACAAUGUUGUAAAUGUAGGUAAAAAGUGUGUGCGCAA